UGUGACCUUCACCCAAAUAUUAGUAAAAUGUGCAGAUCACACCAGCCACUUUACUGAGCAAGAAUGGAAAAACUUAGAGUUCUCAGAAAGCAGGGUAGAACAAGCUUUCAAUAAAGAACUAUAGUGAUCUGGGGCCAUUAUGAAAAUUGACUGAAAACUACCUUGAAAGUCAAAUCACGUGGGUCCAUGAUGUAACUGCUUGAAACUUGUUGAUCUAUAUUUUUGUCCAGAAUGCCUAACAGUGACCACUUAGGCCUCUGAAAGCCAAAGAUGUCUGAGAGCCAGAAC
rnacentral:lncRNA from 1 species